CCUUUCUUUGCUCUCUCGCUCGCCCUCCCCUUCUAUCUCACAGCCUCGCGCCCUGUACACUUCCUUUGCGCACCCAUUCGCUUUCUAUCCGUCGCUCUCUUCCAGCGCACGAAUCCGCACGCCGCCGUCCGAGGAUAAUCCCCAUGGUUUCUUUUUCCCUCUCACAUCCCUAACCGAACACGAACCCUAAAAGACCGUCGCCUUUCCCUCUCGCGGGACCCCCCCCCUCCCCUUCUACGAGAUCCCUGUCUGAUAUCUGAGGCCUCAGCCCACCAGGAAAGGAAGGCAACCGCCUAUUCUGGAUCUCUACCCGUGGCCACGGCCCUUACACACCUGUUACCUGUGGCAUCAACCCGCAAAACCCCUGCUGCGGGUGAGGAAGUACAGACCAGUGCAGAGAGAAGGCUAACACCAAAAUCCCCUUGAGAACAAGAUAAACACGGCCAUCCCAGCGCCGCCACCAACACCCCCCGCAUCUCUCCACCCGGUUCAGGUUCUUUGACCAAGAGAAGGAGCCGUCAGUUACUGGUGAGCCAACAUACAUCUUUGCUUUUUCUCUGUCUGUCUCUGUCUGUCUGUCUGUCUCUCUCUCUGUCUCUGACUUUGUCCCUCUCUCUUUCUGUGUCUAUCUCUCUCUGUCUCUGUUCCGUCCCUCUCGC
ensembl:lncRNA